CCUAGAGAAAAAAAAUUGGCAAUGCCGUAAAAAUCGCUUGCUAGGUCCGUAAAUCUCAGUAAAAGCCUACAAUAAAAUGUCCGCUCCGAGAUUGAAAUACUAAUCUGUGUUACAAACAGGUGCUGAAAAAUGUACAUUAUCAGAAAAUAAUCAAUAAAUGUGUUUUAAAGUUACACCGGAUCAAAUUAAAUCCAAAACAUGCACUGCUUGUGAACUGUCAUCAAAAUGUCAAUUUCCUACAAUGACAAAAGAAAUUACAUUGUGUGCAUUCCGUCUCUAUACAUGUUGUCUGUUCAAAGUCCCCACCUAAAAAGGAAUAAAAAGACUAUCUUUUCGUUAUUAUAAACCCGUGUCACGUGAUGUCUCCCAUGUGGCGCGCGCGCUGUACCUAAAAUAAAAGAAAAACUUUCCAAACUAAACAUGAAACUUCUCCGGUAACAAUAAUAUAGACCCCAUACAGAAACAAACAAACAAACAAACAAACAAACCCCCCCCCCCCCAAUUCAAUUAAUUUUAAAGGGGGAAAGACCCCCUACAAUUGCUUUUUUAAAGCAAUUGAUUUAUAUUGUAAAAAACCUUUUUAACCAUUCUGUUCCGUUAAUAAAAAAAAAAAAAAAAAUCUCCCCGAGACCCCCUUUUGCCCCCCCCCUUUUUUUUUAACCCUCCACUUACAACUGAAUGUAGGUUGUGUGCUAUCUAUCCUAUCAACGUAAAACGAACGACAACUCCAGUUUUUUCCAUAUUAUUAGGUCUUUCCACUUUUCUGUGGAAAGCCUAUUGUAUUUGUUCUGAUUAUUAGGUCUUUCCACUUUUCUGUGGAAAGCCUAUUGUAUUUGUUCUGAUUAUUAUUAUUAUUUUUUUUUUUUUUCCGCCAAAUUUUGUUCUUGCGAUAAAUGUUUGUUUCGCAAUAUGUCGCUUAGAUUUUUUUCAUAUAUUGUAUCGUAUAGUUUAUGCGCUUUUAAAUUUCACCCUGCUAAGCCGAACCAUUUUCUUUGUAAGAGUUAUCUCCCUAUUCACUGUUUGUCAUGUGUGUGCAUCUCCUUCGUAACAAAAUAAGAAAGCGACAAAAUUCUUUUUACAAAUUGUUCGUUACAUCCUCAGGAAUUUUUGGCUAAUUUGGAUCGAAGCGAUUCGAUGAAAUUUUAUAGGAGUUAUGUACCUUUACGGAAUAAAUUUGUCGGUAUGUUUUUUUAACUCAUAAACCGUUAACCGUAUAACCCUGGAAUGUUUUUAUUUGAGUCCCC
rnacentral:lncRNA from 1 species